ACCCUUUCAGGAUGGCAACUGGAGAGUUUCCAGUACUAUAUCAGUCUCUGCUAUGGGAGGGAGAGUCACACAGAGGCCUACCCAUUCCAUUCCUAGCUUGGGCAGUGGCUAGUGAGUGGAAGGCAAUCUGCUACAAGU